UUCAGCGGUCAAGUAGCAAGCAAUUCAUUGCAGUAAUCCUCAUUGUAAACCAAAAUUCACUGUGUUCUUUAAUCUGAUUGGUUGAAAAACGUGAUCAAAUGGUAUUCGAUUCCCGGAAAUUCACUGCGUAUUAAU